ACUGAUAUCAUCUACCUGGACAUCUGCAAGGCCUUUCAGAGGGGCAGACCUGUAGGAUGAAGGCUGUGUGUGUGUUUGAGGGUGAUCUCCUAGGAGAUUUUCCCCAGGCUUGGGUGUUGCCCAAGGAAAUAUGAGCUGAUAUCUGCACUGCUUCACUCCCGAGCUCAUCAUCAGGGAGGGCUCUCCUGAGCAAACUUCUCAGGUCAAAAAAGGAAUUUCUGGUCAAAACCAUAGCGGGAAAGAACACACAGGAAGCCAGGCUGUGAUCCGAGCCCAGCAGAGCGUCCCAUAUUCCAGCGAUGGAGCCAGCAGCUGCCCUGCCACGCAGCCACCCCUCAACUGGCCGCCCACACCCUGUGCACCAGGAGCAUCCCCAAGCAGCAGAGGAUCCACUGCUGCAAUGUGAUCUGAGAGAAGAUGCCCAGUCCCACCCACCUUCCCUUUUAUACUGGCAAACUGCUUUUAGGUAAAGCAUCAGUUGUGCUUUAGCAUUGCCCUCCAUCCACGUGGCACAGCUCAGCCAGGAAGCGGGAUGUGGGACGUGGUUGUGACCUGCUCCUCAGUUCACCGCAGUAAGGAUAAGUCACAAGCGCUGCAGCUCCUUCACCGCAGCAGAAGAAGAAUUGAACGUUGUCAGAAAGGAUCAAAAUCAGGCCUGGCACAUGUGUUUGUGCGUGUGUGUGUGUGUGGUUUCACAACACCUCCCUCUCCACCCCGGCAGCCACACCAGUUUCCUCAAAGAAAAGCAGAACAGUGAAGCAUAGACCCAAUGCUCUGCCGUGAUGUAUUAGAGCCUUGUUUUUCCCACUGCUUGAAGAACUGACCCAGCCCCCUCAAAUGUUCCCAGCAUAUUUGGAUUGUGAGUCAGAGACCACAAUGGAGAUACUUGCCUGGCUUGACAAAGUUUAAGCAUCUCCUGCCAAGUAGUAAUCGCUGAUUUUUGCUCCGUCACUCAUAAGCCCUGCUCCUGCUGCCCUACCCAUGCAAACACAUGGUCUCAUUCAGAAAGCAAGGGCUGCCUCUCGGCUGCUUAUCUGCAGCAUCUGCAGCUCUCGUGCAGAGCAAGAUGGGAACCUGCAGGUAUCCGUGGUCAAAACAAGGGAGAGGGCACACUGAAAGAACAGCAGCAAUACUGAAAAGAGAGGAAAGCAGGAAGGGCUUCAUCUUGGCAGUCAGGGUCUAACAUUCAAAAUAAAGUCAAUACAGAGAUUUCCAUGCA